rnacentral:rRNA from 1 species
ACGGCCGCGGGAUCCUCCACCGUGCAAAGGUAGCAUAAUCACUUGUCUCCUAAAUAGAGACUAGUAUGAACGGCCAAAUGAAGAUUUACCUGUCUCUUGAAGCCCAUCUAUGAAACUGAUCUUUCAGUACAAAAGCUGAAAUCCAAACACAAGACGAAAAGACCCUGUGGAACUUAAAGCCAAAGUCAACAAACUAUGACCCACCGCUUUUAGUUGGGGCAACUUUGGAAAAAAACAAAACUUCCAAUUACAAACGAGGCAGACACGCCAAAAUACAUUAAUUAUAUUAGACCCAGUAUUACUGACUAAAGAAAAAAGCUACCCCAGGGAUAACAGCGCCAUCCCCUCAUAGAGCCCCCAUCGACGAGCGGGGUUUACGACCU